UUGGUAGCACGAAGAUCUUUGAA
rnacentral:tRNA from 1 species